rnacentral:pre_miRNA from 1 species
GGAGGCUGCAUGUUAAUUGUACUUCAUCAGGUGCUCUGGUGAACUCGAUACCCGGCACCUGUUGGAGCGCAAUUCAUAUGACUGUGCCCU